UACGUAGGGGGCAAGCGUUGUCCGGAAUCAUUGGGCGUAAAGAGCGUGUAGGCGGCCUGGUAAGUCUGUUGUGAAAGCCCGGGGCUCAACCCCGGGAGGCGGGCGGAUACUGUCGGGCUAGAGUCCGGAAGAGGCAAGUGGAAUUCCUGGUGUAGCGGUGAAAUGCGCAGAUAUCAGGAGGAACACCGAUGGCGAAGGCAGCUUGCUGGGACGGUACUGACGCUGAGACGACGAAAGCGUGGGGAGCAAACAGG
rnacentral:rRNA from 1 species